rnacentral:lncRNA from 1 species
GAACUGCCCAAAGUGAAGUCAAACUCAGGAGCUGAGAAAACAGAGUCACCGUGAGGCGAUGGGAAAUUGUCUCCUGAGAGAAGUCAGGAAGGAAACGACCAUAUUUGAGAGUCAAAAUCAAGGUCAAGCUAAGAAAAGUAAGUCAUUUCUUCCUAAUAUUUUUCAUUCUAGGGAUGUUGUAAAUUUAAAUAUACAA